rnacentral:rRNA from 1 species
UCCUGGCUCAGGAUGAACGCUAGCUACAGGCUUAACACAUGCAAGUCGAGGGGCAGCAUGGUCUUAGCUUGCUAAGGCCGAUGGCGACCGGCGCACGGGUGAGUAACACGUAUCCAACCUGCCGUCUACUCUUGGACAGCCUUCUGAAAGGAAGAUUAAUACAAGAUGGCAUCAUGAGUCCGCAUGUUCACAUGAUUAAAGGUAUUCCGGUAGACGAUGGGGAUGCGUUCCAUUAGAUAGUAGGCGGGGUAACGGCCCACCUAGUCUUCGAUGGAUAGGGGUUCUGAGAGGAAGGUCCCCCACAUUGGAACUGAGACACGGUCCAAACUCCUACGGGAGGCAGCAGUGAGGAAUAUUGGUCAAUGGGCGAGAGCCUGAACCAGCCAAGUAGCGUGAAGGAUGACUGCCCUAUGGGUUGUAAACUUCUUUUAUAAAGGAAUAAAGUCGGGUAUGGAUACCCGUUUGCAUGUACUUUAUGAAUAAGGAUCGGCUAACUCCGUGCCAGCAGCCGCGGUAAUACGGAGGAUCCGAGCGUUAUCCGGAUUUAUUGGGUUUAAAGGGAGCGUAGAUGGAUGUUUAAGUCAGUUGUGAAAGUUUGCGGCUCAACCGUAAAAUUGCAGUUGAUACUGGAUAUCUUGAGUGCAGUUGAGGCAGGCGGAAUUCGUGGUGUAGCGGUGAAAUGCUUAGAUAUCACGAAGAACUCCGAUUGCGAAGGCAGCCUGCUAAGCUGCAACUGACAUUGAGGCUCGAAAGUGUGGGUAUCAAACAGGAUUAGAUACCCUGGUAGUCCACACGGUAAACGAUGAAUACUCGCUGUUUGCGAUAUACAGCAAGCGGCCAAGCGAAAGCGUUAAGUAUUCCACCUGGGGAGUACGCCGGCAACGGUGAAACUCAAAGGAAUUGACGGGGGCCCGCACAAGCGGAGGAACAUGUGGUUUAAUUCGAUGAUACGCGAGGAACCUUACCCGGGCUUAAAUUGCAGAUGAAUUACGGUGAAAGCCGUAAGCCGCAAGGCAUCUGUGAAGGUGCUGCAUGGUUGUCGUCAGCUCGUGCCGUGAGGUGUCGGCUUAAGUGCCAUAACGAGCGCAACCCUUGUUGUCAGUUACUAACAGGUUCCGCUGAGGACUCUGACAAGACUGCCAUCGUAAGAUGUGAGGAAGGUGGGGAUGACGUCAAAUCAGCACGGCCCUUACGUCCGGGGCUACACACGUGUUACAAUGGGGGGUACAGAGGGCCGCUACCACGCGAGUGGAUGCCAAUCCCCAAAACCUCUCUCAGUUCGGACUGGAGUCUGCAACCCGACUCCACGAAGCUGGAUUCGCUAGUAAUCGCGCAUCAGCCACGGCGCGGUGAAUACGUUCCCGGGCCU